AGUGAACGCUGGCGGUAGGCCUAACACAUGCAAGUCGAACGGCAGCACAGUAAGAGCUUGCUCUUACGGGUGGCGAGUGGCGGACGGGUGAGGAAUACAUCGGAAUCUACUUUUUCGUGGGGGAUAACGUAGGGAAACUUACGCUAAUACCGCAUACGACCUACGGGUGAAAGCAGGGGAUCUUCGGACCUUGCGCGAUUGAAUGAGCCGAUGUCGGAUUAGCUAGUUGGCGGGGUAAAGGCCCACCAAGGCGACGAUCCGUAGCUGGUCUGAGAGGAUGAUCAGCCACACUGGGACUGAGACACGGUCCAGACUCUUACGGGAGGCAGCAGUGGGGAAUAUUGGAUAAUGGGCGCAAGCCUGAUCCAGCCAUACCGCGUGGGUGAAGAAGGCCUUCGGGUUGUAAAGCCCUUUUGUUGGGAAAGAAAAGCAGCAGGUUAAUACCCCGCUGUUCUGACGGUACCCAAAGAAUAAGCACCGGCUAACUUCGUG
rnacentral:rRNA from 1 species